AUUGAACGCUGGCGGCAUGCUUUACACAUGCAAGUCGAACGAGUGGCGCACGGGUGAGUAAUACAUCGGAACGUGUCCUCUCGUAGGGGAUAACUGAUCGAAAGAUCAGCAAAUACCGCAUACGAUUGGAGAGGCCGAUUCCCGAGGAGCUAGUUGGUGAGGUAAAGGCUCACCAAGGCGACGAUGGGUAGCUGGUCUGAGAGUACGACCAGCAACACUGCGACUGGGACACGGCCCAGACUCCUACGGGAGGCAGCAGUGGGGAAUUUUGGACAAUGGGGAGAACCCUGAACCAGCCAUGCCGCGUGAAGGAUGAAGGGCUUCGGAUUGUGAACUGCUUUUGUCAGGGAAGCGGUACCUGAAGAAUAAGCACCGGCUAACUACGUGCCAGCAGCCGCGGUAAUUC
rnacentral:rRNA from 1 species